UACGUAGGGUGCGAGCGUUAAUCGGAAUUACUGGGCGUAAAGCGUGCGCAGGCGGUCCGCAAAGUCUGAUGUGAAAGCCCCGGGCUUAACCUGGGAACUGCGUUUGAAACGGUAUAUCUGGAGUGCGUGAGAGGAAAGUGGAAUUCCUAGUGUAGAGGUGAAAUUCGUAGAUAUUAGGAGGAACACCAGAGGCGAAGGCGGCUUUCUGGCUCGCAACUGACGCUGAGGCGCGAAAGCGUGGGGAGCAAACAGG
rnacentral:rRNA from 1 species